AUCUACCAUGAAAAAGAGUUUAAUAUGCCUUACUACAAAUGUAGAAUGUGUUUAAAAAUUUUAAAACAACAAUAAAGAUCAUAGGUUUCAGUAUAUAGAGCAUUAACCGAAAAAUUCAAUAUUUUCGUAGGGGUUAACCCAUAGAUUUUGAGAAAAUUUCAAAAAUAUGAAAAUACUGUUUUAAUGCAUAGUUGCAUCAUUCACUAACAUAUGAUGAAGGCCAAAUAUGUUUGGAAUUUUUGUUGUCUCAGUUUUUGUAGAAAAUAGCUAUUUUAUGUUGGUUAGUCUACCAAUUUAGGGAAUAUUAUGAAGUUUUACUAAAUUAAUUGACAAAAAAAUGAAAAUGAUGCCCAUGUACCAUGAAAGAGAGUUUAAUAUAAAUUUAAUACAAAUGUAGAAUGUGUUUAGAAAUAUUAAAACAACACUAAAGAUCAUAGGCUUGAGUAUAUAGAGCAUUAACCGAAAAAUUCAAUAUUUUAAUAGGGGUUAACCCAUAGAUUUUGAGAAAAUUUAAAAAAUAUGAAAAUACUGUUUUAAUGCAUAGUUGCAUCCUUCACUAACAUAUGAUGAAUGUCAAAGAGGUUUGAAACUUUUGUUGUCUCCAUUUCUCUAGAAAAUAGCGAUUUUAUAGUGGUUGAUCCAUCUAUUUAGGGAGUAUUAUGAAGUUUUACUAAAUUAAUUGAUAAAAAAAUUAAAACAAUGCCCAUGUACCGUGAAAGAGAGUUUAAUAUACAUUAAUACAAAUGUAGAAUGUGUUUAGAAAUUUUAAAACAACACAGAAGAUCACAGGCUUAAGUAUAUAGAACAUCUACUGAAAAACACAUAGAUUUAGAGAAAAUUUCAAAAAAAUAAAUUUUUGUUUUAAUGCAUAGUUGCAUCCUUCACCAACAUAUGAUGAAGGUCAAAGAGGUUUGAAACUUUUCUUGUCUCCGCUUCUCUAGAAAAUAGCGUUUUUAUAGUGGUUAGUCCACCAAUUUAAGGAGUAUUACGAAGUUUUACUAAAUUAAGUGACAAAAAAUUAAAACGAUGUCCAUAUACCAUGAAAGAGAGUUUAAUACACAUUACUACAAAUGUAGAAUGUGUUUAGAAAUAUUAAAACAACACUAAAGAUCAUAAGCUUCAGUACAUAGAGCAUUAACUGAAAAAUUCAAUAACCCAUAGAUUUUGAGAAAAUUUCAAAAAUAUGAAAAUACUGUAUUAAUGCAUAGUUGCAUCCUUCACUAACAUAUGAUGAAGGUCAAAGAGGUUUGAAACAUUUGUUGUCUCUAUUUCUAUAGAAAAUAGCGAUUAUAGUGGUUGAUCCACCAUUUAGGGAGUAUUAUGAAGUUUUACUAAAUUAAUUGAUAAAAAAUUAAAAUGAUGCCCAUGUACCAUGAAAGAGAGUUUAAUAUAUAUUACUACAAAUGUAGAAUGUGUUUAGAAAUAUUAAAACAACACUAAAGAUCAUAGGCUUCAGUAUAUAGAGCAUUAACCGAAAAAUUCAAUAUUUUAAUAGAGGUUAACCCAUAGAUUUUGA